rnacentral:rRNA from 1 species
GACGAACGCUGGCGGCGUGCCUAAUACAUGCAAGUAGAACGCUGAAGGAGGAGCUUGCUUCUCUGGAUGAGUUGCGAACGGGUGAGUAACGCGUAGGUAACCUGCCUGGUAGCGGGGGAUAACUAUUGGAAACGAUAGCUAAUACCGCAUAGAGUAGAUGUUGCAUGACAUUUGCUUAAAAGGUGCAAUUGCAUCACUACCAGAUGGACCUGCGUUGUAUUAGCUAGUUGGUGAGGUAACGGCUCACCAAGGCGACGAUACAUAGCCGACCUGAGAGGGUGAUCGGCCACACUGGGACUGAGACACGGCCCAGACUCCUACGGGAGGCAGCAGUAGGGAAUCUUCGGCAAUAGACGGAAGUCUGACCGAGCAACGCCGCGUGAGUGAAGAAGGUUUUCGGAUCGUAAAGCUCUGUUGUAAGAGAAGAACGAGUGUGAGAGUGGAAAGUUCACACUGUGACGGUAUCUUACCAGAAAGG